AUUGAACGCUGGCGGCAGGCCUAACACAUGCAAGUCGAACGGUAGCACAGAGAGCUUGCUCUCGGGUGACGAGUGGCGGACGGGUGAGUAAUGUCUGGGAAACUGCCCGAUGGAGGGGGAUAACUACUGGAAACGGUAGCUAAUACCGCAUAACGUCGCAAGACCAAAGUGGGGGACCUUCGGGCCUCACACCAUCGGAUGUGCCCAGAUGGGAUUAGCUAGUAGGUGGGGUAAUGGCUCACCUAGGCGACGAUCCCUAGCUGGUCUGAGAGGAUGACCAGCCACGCUGGAACGGAGACACGGUCCAGACUCCUACGGGAGGCAGCAGUGGGGAAUAUUGCACAAUGGGCGCAAGCCUGAUGCAGCCAUGCCGCGUGUAUGAAGAAGGCCUUCGGGUUGUAAAGUACUUUCAGCGGGGAGGAAGGCGGUGAAGUUAAUAACUUCACCGAUUGACGUUACCCGCAGAAGAAGCACCGGCUAACUCCGUGCCAGCCGCCGCGGUAA
rnacentral:rRNA from 1 species